rnacentral:rRNA from 1 species
GAUGAACGCUGGCGGCGUGCCUAAUACAUGCAAGUCGAGCGAACGGACGAGAAGCUUGCUUCUCUGAUGUUAGCGGCGGACGGGUGAGUAACACGUGGAUAACCUACCUAUAAGACUGGGAUAACUUCGGGAAACCGGAGCUAAUACCGGAUAAUAUUUUGAACCGCAUGGUUCAAAAGUGAAAGACGGUCUUGCUGUCACUUAUAGAUGGAUCCGCGCUGCAUUAGCUAGUUGGUAAGGUAACGGCUUACCAAGGCAACGAUGCAUAGCCGACCUGAGAGGGUGAUCGGCCACUCUGGAACUGAGACGCGGUCCAGACUCCUACGGGAGGCAGCAGUAGGGAAUCUUCCGCAAUGGGCGGAAGCCUGACGGAGCAACGCCGCGUGAGUGGUGAAGGUCUUCGGAUCGUAAAACUCUGUUAUUAGGGAAGAACAUUUGUGUAAGUAACUGUGCACAUCUUGACGGUACCUAGUCAGAAAGCCACGGCUAACUACGUG